rnacentral:tRNA from 2 species
GCCCUCGUCGUUCAAUGGAUAGGACACAAGAUUCCGGAUCUUGUGAUGCGGGUUCGAUUCCUGCCGAGGGCACCA